rfam:Saprolegnia parasitica CBS 223.65 unplaced genomic scaffold supercont2.52, whole genome shotgun sequence.
CAUCUGGUGUUUCUAAACACCACCCAUAGCAACUGGAAAUGCAUC